rfam:Schistosoma rodhaini strain Burundi genome assembly, scaffold: SROB_scaffold0001952
AAGAGUCCCAAAUAGGACGAAACGCGCGUC